UACGUAGGCAGCAAGCGUUGUUCGGAGUUACUGGGCGUAAAGAGUGCGUAGGUGGUGCCCGUAAGUCUGUUGUGAAAUCUCCCGGCUUAACUGGGAGGGUGCGGUGGAAACUGGGGUGCUUGAGUGUGGGAGAGGUAAGCGGAAUUCCUGGUGUAGCGGUGAAAUGCGUAGAUAUCAGGAGGAACACCGGUGGCGAAGGCGGCCCCCUGGACCGGAACGUGACGCUGAGGCGCGAAAGCGUGG
rnacentral:rRNA from 1 species